GAUGAACGCUAGCUACAGGCUUAACACAUGCAAGUCGAGGGGUAACGAGAGGAAAGCUUGCUUUCCUUGUCGACGACCGGCGCACGGGUGAGUAACGCGUAUCCAACCUGCCCCCAACUAGGGAAUAACCUUGCGAAAGUAAGACUAAUACCCUAUAAUUUCCUCAGAUGUCAUCUGACGAGGAAUAAAGAUUUAUCGGUUGUGGAAGGGGAGGGGUCUGAUUAGCUUGUUGGCGGGGUAACGGCCCACCAAGGCAACGAUCAGUAGGGGUUCUGAGAGGAAGGUCCCCCACAUUGGAACUGAGACACGGUCCAAACUCCUACGGGAGGCAGCAGUGAGGAAUAUUGGUCAAUGGGCGGAAGCCUGAACCAGCCAAGUAGCGUGCAGGAUGACGGCCCUAUGGGUUGUAAACUGCUUUUAUACAGGAAUAAAGUUAGCCACGUGUGGUUAUUUGUAGGUACUGUAUGAAUAAGGACCGGCUAAUUCCGUGCCAGCAGCAGCCGCCG
rnacentral:rRNA from 1 species